CCUUAUCGAUCGUACCAGCCUUAUCUCUUCCUCAUCUUCUCCUGUCCACCGUUCCUCUCUCCUCUCCGUCUCUCUCGGUCAAACUCCCACGGGAGAAAAUCCGCCGCCGCCUCCUCCCUCCCCGUCCAGGCCCAGAUCGUCCCGUCCCGCCCCGAACCCUCGAUCGCCGCGGCAGAACACCGGCGAGGGAGCGCGAGAGGCUUCUGCGCGAAGGAUUCAGCCAUGGCGAGCGCGGAUCUGCUGCGGAGGGAGGAGGAGUUCUACGAGUCCCUCUUCGAUUCCGCCAAAGGCGGUUCCGGCAAGGCGCAUGGGCAGAUGAUCGAGAAGAAGAUUGAAACCCUCGAGGACAUGGCCACCAGGGAUCUCAUACACAUCUGAGACAUAACUCGUGAGCGGCACCCUUGCAGCAAGGAGGAGGGGCGCGGCUCCACCAGGCCGUCGCCGUCAAGAGCGAGGAUAUGGCUCUUCCCUUGCGCCGGGCCGCGGAUGAGCGACGCAGAGACGCCUCCGCUAGCCAGCCGCUGGUGAGCCCGAGGAGGAGGCGCGAGGCACGGAGGGCUCCAGCAGGCCGCUGCGUCAAGCGCGAGGAAAGGGUUCCUCCCUUGCAUGUGGUCGCCACCGACGACGAGCGACGGCACCAACACGGCCGUACCGCCGAGCACGCAGCAGUUAAGACAAGAGAUGUAGAACUCAACUGGGUUGAACAAGCUUGAAGAUAAUUUUCUGAAUUUGAUAUCUUAUACUGAGAUAAUGUUGUUUGGCCGGAAUCGGAGACGAACAUGGUGGAGGCGAGCAGCAAGGAGAAGCAGCCCCCAGGUGCUCCUGGGCAGCGAGAAAGAGGAUCGAGCGGAGCGCAAUCUGGGGAUCAUUGAGUGAACCUAGAGGAAUAUUGUGUGCGGAGGAGCACGUCGGAGCAAAAUUGUAAUAUGAGCAAAAUUGUAAUUACUGUUCAGUUUAAAUACAAUUAUGUAGAGAAACUUUGGAUCGUAUAGAAUAAAGAGCGUACAGAAUAAA